UGAGUACAGUGGCGGCGCAGCCGCGAUUGCUGGAGGGAGGUCCCAGUGACCGAUCACGGACCACUGGAGGACACUGAUCACUGGGUGAGCCCUGCUGUUCAUCGAAGCGGAAGCCCAAAGGAAGCUUGAUUUAGAGAUCAGCGUGGGAGAAGAAAAUGAGAGUUCUUAUUCAGGAAGAAAAGAGAGCACAUAAAGCCAUCUUUGAAAGACAGGGCCGAAGGAAGGAUUUAUCUGGUCGAAGAUGCUCACGUGAUAAUCACGUGAGUUGAGAAGACCCCCCAGCCUUAGAACGUGAUUCAGAAGAUCCCGGAGGAGUGCAGGGUUUUUAGUCAUAGAGCACUUGAGCUUGAGAGACUUGGUGGAUAAUGGCCUAAGGCAGAGGGACAAAUUUUCUUGAUUUGGCUAGGGCUAGUAAUUAUUACCAUUUUAUUUUGCGGUAGUGUCAUGAUAAGAUGUCAGGGCAUUUACCACAGGUUAAGCUGAAAAUCUUUUAAUCAUCGGAAAAAAUAAAGGAUUCGUAAAAUAGUGUCAGAUUACCAGUAGAUGAUGAUCAUAAAGGAAGGAGCAGUGUUUCAAAAGAAAAAAAAAAGCUGAUUUCAGGAAACAAGAAGUGUAAAAACAACUGUCAAAAGGUGGGAAAUGUUGGGGCUGGAGUAUAGAUGAAUGGUAGAGCCCUUGCUUCGAAUGUGAGGUCCUGGGUUCCAUCUCUAGCACCUGGAGGGGAAAAAAAAAACCGGUGGCCAGGUAGUGCAGAGCUGUAAUCCUGGCUACUGGGGAGGUCGAAGCAGAAGGGACAUGACUUGGAGGCAAUUUAGCCAGGCCAGGUUCAAAAAAUAAAAAGGGCUGCAUACGUGGCUAAGUGGUUUAAGCCCUACUGGAUUCAAUCCCCAGUGCCACAAAGAAAGAAAAAGAAAUUGUCUAAUGGGAAAAAUUAAGUGAUUUGAACAAAAUUGUAAAAAAACAGGUCCUACAAAAAUUAGGUAUUCUUGGAGCUAUAGCUCAGUUGAUAGAGUAUUUGCCUAGCAUGCACAAAACCCUGGGUUCAAUCCCCAUCGACACACACACACACAAAUUAGAUAUUCCUGUUCUAAGCAAGAGCUCUACCACUGACCUACAUCCCCAAAACCCAGAUAGGAAUUCAAAAUAAGAAACUUUAGAAUAAUUCCAUUACAGCUCAUGCUAAGGAAUAAUCUCUGGAGAGAAAAUGUCAAAUCAGUCAAAUAUCAAGAAACAUGUACUCCCCCCAAAAUCAAUGCUUAUAGAUGGCACAUGCCUAUGGUUUGGGAGGGUGAGGAUCACAAGUGCAGAAGCCAGCCUCAGCAAUUUAAUGAGGUCCUAAGCAACUCAGCAAGACCCUGUGUCUAAAUAAAAUUCAAAAAAGGGCUGGGGAUGUGGCUCAGUAGUGAAGUGUCCCUGGGUACAAUCCCUAGUACCAAAAAAAAAAAAAAAAUCGCUUUAGGAUUUGGUGACUACUAAAUAAGCUCCAAGAAGUUAUGUUUAUAUAAUCUUUCUGUAAUAUAAUCUUCCCUUUAUAAGAGGGCCUCUGAGCCAAAUAGGUUCUCGGAUCCUCUCAUGUCUGCAGUUAUCCAUAGUCUGGGGUGAUGGUCUCUGAAUGCAAGACUAGGGCCUUGAGGCUCCUGCUGGUCCUAGGGGUCCAUCCCUGGUGUUUACUGUGAUAUCUUUUUCAGCAUUGAACAGUCACAUAGAGGAACUCUUCCAGAGUGACGGCUGGAAUCACUCAAUACUGGUGCUAUGGGUCCAGGCCUUUUCCACAAAUGUUUGGCCUCUUCUGGCCAACUGCCAAAUCUUUAUUUUACAUCUCCAUAAACGUGUCUCCUCUAAAGGGCUGGGGCUGUGGCUCAGUGGUAGAGCACUUGCCUAGCAUGUGUGAGAUACUGGGUUCAAUUCUCAGCACCACAUAAAAGUAAGUAAAUAAAGAUAUUGUACCAACUACAACUAAAAAAAAAGUAUCUCCUCUAAGCUGUGAAAUCUAAACAGAUGUAUUUAAAGUGAAAGCACCCACACAAAGAUGCACCUUUGAGAUUUGUGGUUUAAAAAACAAUUAAAGGACUGGGGUUGUGGCACAGCGAUAGAGUGCUUGCCUCGUCUAGGGCACUGGGUUCAAUCCUCAGCACCACAUACAAAAAUAAGUGAAAUAAAGGUCUUGUGUCAACUAAAAAAUAAAUAUUAAAAAAUUGAAUUCUUUACAAAUGAAGAUCAUUUCAAGAUGCUGCCUCUUAAAGAUUGACCUGCCUGUUUAUUUGCUAUACAUAAAUAUAUUUUUAAAUUUAGUACCAUUCAAUAAUUUUUUUCAGUUUAUUUCCUUCCCACCCCCACACUGGGGAUUAAACCCAGGGGCACUCUACCACUGAGCUCUACCACUCCACCACUCCCUUCUCUAUUUUGAGAAGGAUCUCAAUAAAUUACUGAGACCGGCUUCAAACUCAUUUCCCUCCUGCCUCAGCCUCUUAAGUCAUUGGGAUUACAACUGGG
rnacentral:lncRNA from 1 species